GAUGAACGUUGGCGGCGUGCCUAAUACAUGCCAGUCGAGCGAACGGACGAGAAGCUUGCUUCUCUGAUGUUAGCGGCGGACGGGUGAGUAACACGUGGAUAACCUACCUAUAAGACUGGGAUAACUUCGGGAAACCGGAGCUAAUACCGGAUGAUAUUUUGAACCGCAUGGUUCAAAAGUGAAAGACGGUCUUGCUGUCACUUAUAGAUGGAUCCGCGCUGCAUUAGCUAGUUGGUAAGGUAACGGCUUACCAAGGCAACGAUGCAUAGCCGACCUGAGAGGGUGAUCGGCCACACUGGAACUGAGACACGGUCCAGACUCCUACGGGAGGCAGCAGUAGGGAAUCUUCCGCAAUGGGCGAAAGCCUGACGGAGCAACGCCGCGUGAGUGAUGAAGGUCUUCGGAUCGUAAAACUCUGUUAUUAGGGAAGAACAUAUGUGUAAGUAACUGUGCACAUCUUGACGGUACCUAAUCAGAAAGCCACGGCUAACUACGUG
rnacentral:rRNA from 1 species